CAUAAUCAUUAGUUUUUUAAUUGAAAACUUGUAUGAAUGGUUGGACAAAGAAGGUACUGUCUCUUUUAUUAUGAUUGAAUUUAACUUUUAAGUGAAAAGGCUUAAAUGUACUAGAGGGACGAUAAGACCCUAUAAAGCUUUAUAAGCUAAAGAAUUUUGUAUAUUUUUAUAUAAAAAUAAUUUUCUAAAGGUCUAUUUGGUUGGGGCGACAAUAAUAUAAAUAAAAUAACUGUUAUUAAAUCUAACAAAUAUAUUUGUGUAUGAGUUAAUUGAUCCCUUAUAAGGAUUUAAGAUCAAGUUACUUUAGGGAUAACAGCGUUAUUUCUUCUGAGAGUUCUUAUCAAAGGAGAAGUUUGCGACCUCGAUGUUGAAUUAAAAUGUCUUUAUAGUGCAGCAGCUAUAAAAGAAGGUCUGUUCGACCUUUAAUAUUUUACGUGAUCUGAGUUCAG
rnacentral:rRNA from 1 species